UGGGGAAUAUUGCACAAUGGGCGAAAGCCUGAUGCAGCAACGCCGCGUGAGUGAUGAAGGCCUUCGGGUUGUAAAGCUCUGUCUUCUGGGACGAUAAUGACGGUACCAGAGGAGGAAGCCACGGCUAACUACGUGCCAGCAGCCGCGGUAAUACGUAGGUGGCAAGCGUUGUCCGGAUUUACUGGGCGUAAAGGAUGCGUAGGCGGAUACUUAAGUCAGAUGUGAAAAUCCCGGGCUUAACUUGGGAACUGCAUUUGAAACUGGGUAUCUAGAGUGCGGGAGAGGAAAGUGGAAUUCCUAGUGUAGCGGUGAAAUGCGUAGAGAUUAGGAAGAACACCAGUGAAGAAGGCGACUUUCUGGACCGUAACUGACGCUGAGGCAUGAAAGCGUGGGGAGCAAACA
rnacentral:rRNA from 1 species